rnacentral:rRNA from 1 species
AUUGAACGCUGGCGGCAGGCCUAACACAUGCAAGUCGAGCGAGCGGCGGACGGGUGAGUAAUGUCUGGGAAACUGCCGGAUGGAGGGGGAUAACUACUGGAAACGGUAGCUAAUACCGCAUAACAUCAGAUGUGCCCCGAGGGGAGUAGCUAGUAGGGGGGGUAACGGCCCACCUAGGCGACGAUCCCUAGCUGGUAUGCGAGGUGGACCAGCCACACUGGAACUGAGACACGGUCCAGACUCCUACGGGAGGCAGCAGGGGGGAAGAUUGCACAAUGGGCGCAAGCCUGAUGCAGCCAUGCCGCGUGUGUGAAGAAGGCCUUCGGGUUGUAAAGCACUUUCAGCGGGGAGGCGUUACCCGCAGAAGAAGCACCGGCUAACUCCGUGCCAGCAGCCGCGUAAUUC